UACGGAGGGUGCAAGCGUUAUCCGGAUUCACUGGGUUUAAAGGGUGUGUAGGCGGGCGUUUAAGUCAGUGGUGAAAUCUCUGAGCUCAACUCAGAAACUGCCAUUGAUACUGGAAGACUUGAGUAUAGUUGAGGUAGGCGGAAUUGACAGUGUAGCGGUGAAAUGCAUAGAUAUUGUCAAGAACACCGAUUGCGAAGGCAGCUUACUAAACUAUAACUGACGCUGAGGCACGAAAGUGCGGGGAUCAAACAGG
rnacentral:rRNA from 1 species